UACGUAGGGGGCAAGCGUUGUCCGGAAUCAUUGGGCGUAAAGAGCGUGUAGGCGGCCAGGUAGGUGGGUUGUGAAAACUGGAGGCUCAACCUUCAGACGUCGACCCAAACCCCCUGGCUAGAGUCCGGAAGAGGAGAGUGGAAUUCCUGGUGUAGCGGUGAAAUGCGCAGAUAUCAGGAGGAACACCAAUGGCGAAGGACGA
rnacentral:rRNA from 1 species